GAUGAAGAACGCAGCGAAAUGCGAUAAGUAAUGCGAAUUGCAGAAUUCAGUGAGUCAUCGAAUCUUUGAACGCACAUUGCGCCCUGUGGUAUUCCGCAGGGCAUGCCUGUACGAGCGUCAUUUCAACCCUCAAGCCUCGCUUGGUGUUGGGCCCUGCCCGCCGCGGCCGGCCCUAAAGAUAGUGGCGGCGCCGCCUGGCCCUCAGCGUAGUACAGCUCUCGCUCCAGGGUCCGGCGGCAGCCUGCCAGAACCCCCCAACUCUGUGGUUGACCUCGGAUCAGGUAGGGAUACCCGCUGAACUUAAGCAUAUCAAUAAGCGGAGGA
rnacentral:misc_RNA from 1 species